rnacentral:rRNA from 1 species
AUUGAACGCUGGCGGCAGGCUUAACACAUGCAAGUCGAACGAGUGGCGGACGGGUGAGUAAUGUUUGGGAAUCUACCUUAUGGAGGGGGAUAACUACGGGAAACUGUAGCUAAUACCGCGUACCAUAGGAUGAGCCCAUGUGGGAUUAGGUAGUUGGUGAGGUAAAGGCUCACCAAGCGACGAUCUCUAGCUGGUCUGAGAGGAUGACCAGCCACACUGGGACUGAGACACGGCCCAGACUCCUACGGGAGGCAGCAGUGGGGAAUAUUGCGCAAUGGGGGCAAGCCUGACACAGCCAUGCCGCGUGAAUGAAGAAGGCCUUCGGGUUGUAAAGUACUUUCGGUAGCGAGGCGUUAACUACAGAAGAAGCACCGGCUAACUCCGUGCCAGCCGCCGCGGUAAUUC